rnacentral:misc_RNA from 1 species
CAACCCCUCAAGCCGGUCUUUUCUGGUUUGGUGUUGGGGUUCCUACGUACGCCGUAGGCCCCGAAGUCCAGUGGCGGGCUCGCUGCGAUCCCGAGCGUAGUACCUACUACCAUCGCUUUAGGGUGUCGUAGCGGGCGCUGGCCGUAAACUAGAAAAGAACACAAGCGCCCUGUGCGCCUGGCGAACUUUUGUUACUUACUA